rnacentral:rRNA from 1 species
UGCAGUCGAGCGAAUUUGAUGGGAGCUUGCUCCCUGAAAAUUAGCGGCGGACGGGUGAGUAACACGUGGGCAACCUACCUGUAAGCCUGGGAUAACUUCGGGAAACCGGAGCUAAUACCGGAUAAUUUCUUUCUUCACAUGGAGAGAGGUUGAAAGACGGCUUUGCUGUCACUUACAGAUGGGCCCGCGGCGCAUUAGCUAGUUGGUGAGGUAACGGCUCACCAAGGCCACGAUGCGUAGCCGACCUGAGAGGGUGAUCGGCCACACUGGGACUGAGACACGGCCCAGACUCCUACGGGAGGCAGCAGUAGGGAAUCUUCCGCAAUGGACGAAAGUCUGACGGAGCAACGCCGCGUGAGUGAAGAAGGUCUUCGGAUCGUAAAACUCUGUUAUCAGGGAAGAACAAGUACCGGAGUUACUGCCGGUACCUUGACGGUACCUGACCAGAAAGCCACGGCUAACUACGUGCCAGCAGCCGCGGUAAUACGUAGGUGGCAAGCGUUGUCCGGAAUUAUUGGGCGUAAAGCGCGCGCAGGCGGUUCUUUAAGUCUGAUGUGAAAUCUUGCGGCUCAACCGUGAGCGGUCAUUGGAAACUGGAGAACUUGAGUGCAGAAGAGAAGAGCGGAAUUCCACGUGUAGCGGUGAAAUGCGUAGAGAUGUGGAGGAACACCAGUGGCGAANGCGGCUCUUUGGUCUGUAACUGACGCUGANGCGCGAAAGCGUGGGGAGCGAACAGGAUUAGAU